rnacentral:rRNA from 1 species
AUGGCCACGCAUGGCAAACAUGGCCUUUUCCAGCUUGUCGAUCGGCUCAACCUCACUGCCUCCCAUUCCACACCCUCACCCAUUCCUAAAACAUACCGGGGUGCCCUACAUGACCCACAGUGGCAUCGUGCUAUGAGCGAGGAAUUUGAUGCUCUUGUCACUAACGAAACAUGGUCUUUAGUCCCAUGUCCUCCUCGUGCUCAUGUUGUUUCAGGAAAGUGGAUCUUCAAGCAUAAGUUUCAUUCAGAUGGUAGCCUUGCUCAGUACAAGGCUCAAUGGGUGGUCCGCGGCUACUCUCAACAACAGGGCAUCGAUUUUGACGAGACAUUCAGCCCUAUUGUUAAGCCUGCCAUGAUCCGCAUCGUCCUCAGCCUCGCGGUCUCG